rnacentral:rRNA from 1 species
GACGGAGGAUGCAAGUGUUAUCCGGAAUCACUGGGCGUAAAGCGUCUGUAGGUGGUUAAAUAAGUCAACUGUUAAAUCUUGAGGCUCAACUUCAAAAUCGCAGUCGAAACUAUUAGACUAGAGUAUAGUAGGGGUAAAGGGAAUUUCCAGUGGAGCGGUGAAAUGCGUAGAGAUUGGAAAGAACACCAAUGGCGAAAGCACUUUACUGGGCUAUUACUGACACUGAGGGACGAAAGCUAGGGUAGCAAAUGGG